rnacentral:rRNA from 1 species
CCUACGGGUGGCAGCAGUGAGGAAUAUUGGUCAAUGGACGGAAGUCUGAACCAGCCAUGCCGCGUGCAGGAAGACGGCGCUAUGAGUUGUAAACUGCUUUUGUACAAGGAUAAACCUGAAUACGUGUAUUCAGCUGAAAGUACUUGACGAAUAAGGAUCGGCUAACUCCGUGCCAGCAGCCGCGGUAAUACGGAGGAUCCAAGCGUUAUCCGGAUUUAUUGGGUUUAAAGGGUGCGUAGGCGGAAUGCAAAGUCAGCGGUAAAAGCGCGGGGCUCAACCUCGCUGCGCCGUUGAAACUGGCGUUCUUGAGAGGGCGAGAGGUAUGCGGAAUGCGUGGUGGAGCGGUGAAAUGCAUAGAUAUCAGGAGGAACACCGGUGGCGAAGGCGGCCUGCUGGACGGGAACUGACGUUGAGGCCCGAAAGCGUGGGGAGCAAACAGGAUUAGAUACCCUUGUAGUC